GUAGGUGAACCUGCGGAAGGAUCAUUACUGAAUGCCGACAGCUUUCGGGCUGCGCUUUCUCCCGGCCUUGGAAGCCGCUGAAAUAUGCGGUUCUCCUUGGUCACUCACACCUGUGCGGUUUGUCCCCCCUCGGUUUCGAGAGCUCGGCUAGAACUUUUGCGAGCCAGGACGGGACAUUCCACACCCCACAACACACUGUUCAUGUUGACUGUACCUUGUUUUAAAAAUCUCGAAUACAAAACAACUUUUA
rnacentral:misc_RNA from 1 species